rnacentral:lncRNA from 1 species
GAGAGGGAGAAACCUGCCGCGGCUCUCCGCCUCUUUGUCUGCUCUGGGACUUGGAACAAAAGGGGAAACUCUGAUGAACUCCUUCUCCAGCUCCCUGGACGCCCGAGUAUCUCUUUCUCGCAACUUUGUCAACGCGACUUUCUCCGCUGUCAGGCUGCGCAAAAGUAUCCUAGCGCCUCGCAGGCUGCAACAAUGGAAACAAUGUCCCUUCAAAGUGCGACGAAGUGGAGGGAGAAGGUGUCAUACCAGCGACUCCAAGAGUCAUGUCACCCACUUAGCAGGAGUACUUCUACUGAAAUGCCUUCGAAUUUCUCUUACUGGAUAUAUACCUACCAGCCGCUAGCAUGAAGAUGCCAGGACCGCUGCAAGUUAGCACUGGACAAAGUAGCAUCAACUUCUUCAUUUAGAGUUUCUUCAGUUAAAUUGCUGGGAUUUUCGACAAGGCUUUCCUUAUGUGGAUUAUUGGAGUGUGAUGCCCGAGAAUUCUCUACUUGUAGAAGCACGCCCACGGGACUGCAGAAGCCUUCACACCCACCCAGCACGCUCAGAUCAUCCAGUAACCAACCCAGGAAGUUCUUGUAAGCAUGCAUUUCUUAGUCAACACUGAAUGCCUUUAGACCGAGGUCAACCUUUUCAGCUGGUACCGUGGUUUACACUGCUGAAAGUACUGUCUUCAACCUUACCAAUGUCAGUGGCGGCGACGGUGGCGUCACCAUCACCAUCAGAGAAAAAGAAAUAUGCCUUUAUGUCAUGGUGGAACCAUCUAGGGAGGCCUGCCACUGUUUGCUGAGCUCCGGGUGAGGAUGAAGACACUUUGACAUGGCCAGCUUCAGACUCGGGAUCUGUCGGUGUUAGCAGCCGAAGGAGAAUGAGGAGGAAGAGGAGGAGAAAGAGGAGGAGGAAGUAAGACAGAGGGGGACAAGAGGACCAAGAGGGCACAUGGCUGAGGAGGAGGAGAACAACAACAACAACAACAACAACAACAACAACAAGAAGCUUGGUGUUUUCAGGAUGUGUUCCUGAGUCUCGUGAGUAGCACAUGGCAGUUGUUGUCACCUUGGGCUGAGCCGUGAAGAUUCUCACCCUCCCUUGUUGGGGAUGAACUCCGGGAUUCUAAGGAGAGGUCAGCAGGUGUUUCACAGACUGUUCCUGUUGGAGGAUUUGUCUGAUACUCUUCUCCUGAUUAGUCUGGGCUCUACAUUUCCCCAAGGGUGAAACUUGGAAGCCCUCUCCAGGAUGCAGCAGGUAGCUGAGGAGAAAACGAAGACUGACCAGCCCAGAGCUCAGAGCUUCCUCCCAUGCUCAGGAUUUACCACCAAUGCCAUUACAUCGGCCUCUUCUUGUAUGCCUCUGGAAACCACAUGUGUCCUCUGUUUGUAAUGGUUUGGCUAUGGUUGCUGGCCCCUCUUGGACAUUGUUUUCAGAACUUAAAGAAACAUUGCUUUAAAGAUUUAUUAGAACAUAUUUAAAAUAAAACCAUCUUCUCAUUUA